rnacentral:rRNA from 1 species
GGUGAACGCUGGCGGCGUGCCUAAUACAUGCCAGUCGAGCGAACAGAUGAGGAGCUUGCUCCUCUGACGUUAGCGGCGGACGGGUGAGUAACACGUGGAUAACCUACCUAUAAGACUGGGAUAACUUCGGGAAACCGGAGCUAAUACCGGAUAAUAUAUUGAACCGCAUGGUUCAAUAGUGAAAGACGGUUUUGCUGUCACUUAUAGAUGGAUCCGCGCCGCAUUAGCUAGUUGGUAAGGUAACGGCUUACCAAGGCAACGAUGCGUAGCCGACCUGAGAGGGUGAUCGGCCACACUGGAACUGAGACACGGUCCAGACUCCUACGGGAGGCAGCAGUAGGGAAUCUUCCGCAAUGGGCGAAAGCCUGACGGAGCAACGCCGCGUGAGUGAUGAAGGUCUUCGGAUCGUAAAACUCUGUUAUUAGGGAAGAACAAAUGUGUAAGUAACUAUGCACGUCUUGACGGUACCUAAUCAGAAAGCCACGGCUAACUACGUG